AUGAGGACGCAUUGCUGACAAUACGCUAUCCUCGACGAGGAAGGCACUUGUGGCUGCUGUCGAAACAAGCGAAGGACCUAAGUCAUCAACAAACUCUUUAGCUGCUCCAUUGAAUGCAGUACAACCGUUGCCUGGGACCGCGCGCUGUUAUUAAGCUUGGAGAGGGAUGACCUACUCCAGUUUCCAUGCUAAGCAUGGUUGACCAUAGGUACGUGUUAAGUUUUAUCUUACAGGUUACCUUGUUUAGUGGAUCUUAAAAUGUAACAUACCUACAAACUGCAAUCAAUAUAAGCAAAUAUCUAAUUAAGAAAUCUGCUAUGUUAAUUAUUAGAAAACUUAUUUUAAGGGAGAAAGCUUAUUUCUAAAACAUUACUAACCUUGCAUUACUAACCAGAUCUCAUAUUUUUUCUUCACUCUGAGCAUUCGUAUAACGACGAACAGACCAAAAGUGCCAGAAAAUGAAGGGUUCUCGGCUUGGGAUAUGAUCUUCCCAAACAUUGUGUUCCCCCUGAAGUCUACUUCUUCCGGAUCUAGAUUGUUGGUUAUGGAUUCAAUCUUCUUCGGUUUUGUGGUAAGUAGUAACCCUUUUCCGACCGAUUCUUCACCGGCUGCAAACAUCGUUCUGGAAAAAACAGAUGAUCUAUAACGCAGAUUGCUAAGAUUUCGAGGCCUGUGCAACGAAGAAAAUUAUAUUGUUCUUAGGUUUAUG
rnacentral:lncRNA from 1 species